UACGUAGGGUGCAAGCGUUGUCCGGAUUUAUUGGGCGUAAAGAGCUCGUAGGCGGUUUGGCAAGUCGGGUGUGAAACCUCCAGGCUCAACCUGGAGUCGCCAUCCGAUACUGCUAUGACUUGAGUCUGGUAGGGGAUCACGGAAUUCCUGGUGUAGCGGUGAAAUGCAUAGAUAUCAGGAGGAACACCGGUGGCGAAGGCGGCAUCCUGGACCAACACGUGACGCUGAGGAGCGAAGCGUGGGGAGCGAGUCCGG
rnacentral:rRNA from 1 species